UACGUAGGGGGCAAGGCGUUGUCCGGAAUCAUUGGGCGUAAAGCGCGUGUAGGCGGCCUGGUAAGUCCGUUCUGAAAGCCUCGGGCUUAACCCGAGAAGGGCAUCCGAAACUGGCCGGCUUGAGUACGGAAGAGGGUCUCGGAAUUCCCGGUGUAGAGGUGAAAUUCGUAGAUAUCGGGAGGAACACCAGUGGCGAAGGCGGAGACCUGGGCCGAUACUGACGCUGAGGUGCGAAAGCGUGGGGAGCAAACAGGG
rnacentral:rRNA from 1 species